rnacentral:piRNA from 1 species
GCUACGUGGGCAACAAAGGAACUG